UACAGGCUUAACACAUGCAAGUCGAGGGGCAGCAUGGUCUUAGCUUGCUAAGGCCGAUGGCGACCGGCGCACGGGUGAGUAACACGUAUCCAACCUGCCGUCUACUCUUGGACAGCCUUCUGAAAGGAAGAUUAAUACAAGAUGGCAUCAUGAGUCCGCAUGUUCACAUGAUUAAAGGUAUUCCGGUAGACGAUGGGGAUGCGUUCCAUUAGAUAGUAGGCGGGGUAACGGCCCACCUAGUCUUCGAUGGAUAGGGGUUCUGAGAGGAAGGUCCCCCACAUUGGAACUGAGACACGGUCCAAACUCCUACGGGAGGCAGCAGUGAGGAAUAUUGGUCAAUGGGCGAGAGCCUGAACCAGCCAAGUAGCGUGAAGGAUGACUGCCCUAUGGGUUGUAAACUUCUUUUAUAAAGGAAUAAAGUCGGGUAUGGAUACCCGUUUGCAUGUACUUUAUGAAUAAGGAUCGGCUAACUCCGUGCCAGCAGCCGCGGUAAUACGGAGGAUCCGAGCGUUAUCCGGAUUUAUUGGGUUUAAAGGGAGCGUAGAUGGAUGUUUAAGUCAGUUGUGAAAGUUUGCGGCUCAACCGUAAAAUUGCAGUUGAUACUGGAUAUCUUGAGUGCAGUUGAGGCAGGCGGAAUUCGUGGUGUAGCGGUGAAAUGCUUAGAUAUCACGAAGAACUCCGAUUGCGAAGGCAGCCUGCUAAGCUGCAACUGACAUUGAGGCUCGAAAGUGUGGGUAUCAAACAGGAUUAGAUACCCUGGUAGUCCACACAGUAAACGAUGAAUACUCGCUGUUUGCGAUAUACUGCAAGCGGCCAAGCGAAAGCGUUAAGUAUUCCACCUGGGGAGUACGCCGGCAACGGUGAAACUCAAAGGAAUUGACGGGGGCCCGCACAAGCGGAGGAACAUGCGGUUUAAUUCGAUGAUACGCGAGGAACCUUACCCGGGCUUAAAUUGCAGAUGAAUUACGGUGAAAGCCGUAAGCCGCAAGGCAUCUGUGAAGGUGCUGCAUGGUUGUCGUCAGCUCGUGCCGUGAGGUGUCGGCUUAAGUGCCAUAACGAGCGCAACCCUUGUUGUCAGUUACUAACAGGUUCCGCUGAGGACUCUGACAAGACUGCCAUCGUAAGAUGUGAGGAAGGUGGGGAUGACGUCAAAUCAGCACGGCCCUUACGUCCGGGGCUACACACGUGUUACAAUGGGGGGUACAGAGGGCCGCUACCACGCGAGUGGAUGCCAAUCCCCAAAACCUCUCUCAGUUCGGACUGGAGUCUGCAACCCGACUCCACGAAGCUGGAUUCGCUAGUAAUCGCGCAUCAGCCACGGCGCGGUGAAUACGUUCCCGGGCCUUGUACACACCGCCCGUCAAGCCAUGGGAGCCGGGGGUACCUGAAGUGCGUAACCGCGAGGAGCGCCCUAGGGUAAAACUGGUGACUGGGGCUAAGUCAUAACA
rnacentral:rRNA from 1 species